GAUUAAGCCAUGCAUGUGUAAGUAUAAAUAGUUAACUUUGAAACUGCGAAUGGCUCAUUAUAUCAGUUAUAGUUUAUUUGAUGAAGAAUACUAAUUGGAUAACCGUAGUAAUUCUAGAGCUAAUACAUGUAUAAAGUCUUGUAGACUGCAUUUAUUAGAAUGAAAACCAUAGGUUUCGGCCUAUUCGUGAGUAAUAAUAACUAAUCAUAUCGUAUGCUUAAGUAACGAUGUGUCUUUCAAGUUUCUGCCCUAUCAGCUUUCGAUGGUAGUGUAUUGGACUACCAUG
rnacentral:rRNA from 2 species